CCUUGGUGAAUUCAGCCUUUGCUAUUUUCAACUUCUGCUGGAAGUGACUCCUGGCUACCAACCUAGAUCAUCUGAGGAGGGGAGGAAGGGAUCCCGGGUGGCUCCUGUGUCUCUUUGGAGUGUGGAAGGGUUCCAGAAUUUUCCUUUCAUUUCCAGAUGAUCAUCAGAAAUCAUUUAAGUCCCAGAGGCCCUUUUCUAAGCAGGCUGACCCCUGAGUCACUCCUGUGUGCUCCCCAUCUCCUGCAGUGAUCGUAUUCCUCUGUCCAUUCGUAAUUUUAAUUAUGCGUUUACUCAAUGGGCCUGCCUUCUGGUGAACUUCUCCUGGUAACUCAUUAAACCUCUGAGUCACGCAUUCAUUAUUAAAGAGGGGGCAAGGUGGGGAAAGGAAAGAACGGAAAGGAGCUGUGCCCUGGGAGGAACUUGGGGAGGAUCUCUGUGGUUGAGUGUAGCUGAGUCUCUGGAGGCCUCAGUUAGCUCUUCUCCCGUCUAGGAUGUACCCUGCACUGCGGGGCACUGUACCGACUGUAGGGAGGUCAUUGGUCAGGUUGGCCUGAAAUUGAGUUUUUACUAUGGUAGGAGACUACUUACAGUUUUGGUGAAAGUCUUUCCCUCCUGCUUAACUCUGCCCUUUGGAAUUAGGUGGUCUCAAAACAACGAUGGAGCCACUAGUUAAAAAGGAAUUCCAAUCUUAACUUGUGACUCUGAAAGAGCAUUAAAGGGAACUGAUUCAUAACCCACAGAGGCACUUCUUAAUAUUCCCUUUCCUUUCCACUACAGUUUUUUAAAGAACUACUCCAACCUCCCUGCCCACUACCACUCAGCCCAGGGAACUAUCUCCUCUCUCACCCUCUCCUCAAGCGCCUACCAAAAUGCCUGGAGAACAAUAGAAGUAAAAUGUGUCGAAUAAGGUGUUCAGGAAAAAAAUGCACAAAAUCCUGACUGACCGGAAUAAUUCAUGAAGAAGGGGCUGGAUCCGUGGGUCAGAGAGCACAGGACCGGUGUACCAUCCCAAGGCCGAAGGAAUAUCACCUGCUCCCUGGCCUGAUGAUGAACUUCUAGCACAGAAGUCAUUUUUCCACAUCACCUUUUCUGGCACAGAGCUGGAUGUACAGCAGGUGUUCAGUAAAUAUUGGUUGGUUGAUUUUAUUUCAAUUGAUUUUAUUUCUGAGGAUGCCACAAUAUCACAUUCUGUGAUGAUAGUAAAUAUGUCCGAGGAUUGUAAUGCAGGUUCUACAGUUUCCUCCUUUUCGACUUUUAAGUAUUUCUGAACACUCUACAUACUUUCUUGAGAAUUAUACAUCAUAUUCAGUAUUAGUAGCAGGACUAAUUCAUGUCCUUAUCAUUUUCCAAGAAGAACACUUUUGUGUGCUCUAGCAGCCUUGAUAAGGGCUUCUUGGUGGCCCAAUGGUAAAGAAUCUACCUUCAAUGCAGGAGACACGGGUUUGAUCCCUGGGUCAGGAAGAUCCCCUGGANNNNNNNNACCCACUCCAGUAUUCUUGCCUGGGAAAUCCCAUAGACAGAGGAGUCUGGAGGGGUUGUAAAGAGUCAGAUUUAGGACUAACAACAGCAACAACAAGCAGCCUUGGUAUCUUUCUUUGUAGGAUUGUUUUCCAGAACAAAAGUGAUUCUAACUGGUAACUAGCCCUGUGCCCUCCCGCCUCCUGGAAUGAGGUUGGUUGUUGGGUGGCUCUUCUGGGGUGAUCGGGACAGAUUUAAUAGACCUUGUUGGUGCUCUGCCUGGACACCCUGGGAUCACUUUGUGCUCCCACCCCACAGCUGCUAUGGCCUUUGCUGCCCCUUUAAAGAACUGACCUCUUGAUAUCUCGGUAUCUCGGUAGCCAGUAUUAACUGGUGUGGGAAUGAGAAACGUAGCUGCCUUGCCUUGGGGAGGAGGGAGCAGAUUCAGGAGGAGGCCAAGUUUGUACUCCAGGAGUCUCCUGGGGUCAGGCUGAAGCUGGGACUUCACCUGAGGUUAGAGUGGCUUGGCUCUCCCCCGACUCUUUUCCUGAGUCCCUUGGGAGCAUUUCUUUAAUGAAUCACCUGCCCAGGAAUCCUUGUCCUACUCUGGGGGAACAUGUCCUC
rnacentral:lncRNA from 1 species